rnacentral:rRNA from 1 species
CAGUAGCCACGGGAACACGGAGGGUGCAAGCGUUAAUCGGAAUUACUGGGCGUAAAGCGCACGCAGGCGGUCUGACAAGUCAGAUGUGAAAUCCCCGGGCUUAACCUGGGAACUGCAUUUGAAACUGUCAGGCUGGAGUCUUGUAGAGGGGGGUGGAAUUCCAGGUGUAGCGGUGAAAUGCGUAGAGAUCUGGAGGAAUACCGGUGGCGAAGGCGGCCCCCUGGACAAAGACUGACGCUCAGGUGCGAAAGCGUGGGGAGCAAACAGGAUUAGAUACCCCUGUAGUCCCUGUCUCUUAUAA